UACGUAGGGGGCAAGCGUUGUCCGGAAUUAUUGGGCGUAAAGAGCGUGUAGGCGGUCCGGUAAGUCAGCUGUGAAAGUCAAGGGCUCAACCCUUGAAUGCCGGUUGAUACUGUCGGGCUAGAGUCCGGAAGAGGCGAGUGGAAUUCCCGGUGUAGCGGUGAAAUGCGCAGAUAUCAGGAGGAACACCGGUGGCGAAGGCGGCUCUCUGGACCUGUCCUGACGCUCAGGCGCGAAAGCUAGGGGAGCAAACAGG
rnacentral:rRNA from 1 species